UACGUAGGGGCAAGCGUUGUCCGGAAUUACUGGGCGUAAAGCGCACGCAGGCGGAAUUGUAAGUCCGUUGUAAAAUUCAGAGGCUCAACCUCUGCCUGUCGGCGGAUACUGCAAAUCUAGAGUAUGUGAGAGGGAAGUGGAAUUCCUGGUGUAGCGGUGAAAUGCGUAGAUAUCAGGAGGAACUCCGGUGGCAAAGGCGACUUCCUGGCACAAGACUGACGCUCAUGUGCGAAAGCUAGGGUAGCGAACGGGAUUAGAUA
rnacentral:rRNA from 1 species